UACAGAGGGUGCAAACGUUGCUCGGAAUUAUUGGGCGUAAAGCGCGUGUAGGCGGCUUGUUAAGUUGGUUGUGAAAACCCAUGGCUCAACCAUGGAAGGGCGUCCAAAACUGGCAAGCUAGAGUCCCGACGAGGAUGGCGGAAUUCCCAGUGUAGAGGUGAAAUUCGUAGAUAUUGGGAGGAACACCGGUGGCGAAGGCGGCCAUCUGGGAGGGCACUGACGCUGAGACGCGAAAGCGUGGGGAGCAAACAGGAUUAGAUACCCUGGUAGUCCACGCCGUAAACGAUGAGCACUAGAUGUUGCGGGUAUUGACCCCUGCAGUGUCGACGCUAACGCAUUAAGUGCUCCGCCUGGGGAGUACGGCCGCAAGGCUAAA
rnacentral:rRNA from 1 species